ACCCGGGAAGUCCCUGACACU
rnacentral:miRNA from 1 species